rnacentral:rRNA from 1 species
AUUGAACGCUGGCGGCAUGCCUUACACAUGCAAGUCGAACGGUAACAGGCCUUCGGAUGCUGACGAGUGGCGAACGGGUGAGUAAUACAUCGGAACGUGCCUAGUAGUGGGGGAUAACUACUCGAAAGAGUGGCUAAUACCGCAUGAGAUCUACGGAUGAAAGCAGGGGAUCGCAAGACCUUGUGCUACUAGAGCGGCCGAUGGCAGAUUAGGUAGUUGGUGGGAUAAAAGCUUACCAAGCCGACGAUCUGUAGCUGGUCUGAGAGGACGAUCAGCCACACUGGGACUGAGAAACGGCCCAGACUCCUACGGGAGGCAGCAGUGGGGAAUUUUGGACAAUGGGCGAAAGCCUGAUCCAGCAAUGCCGCGUGCAGGAUGAAGGCCUUCGGGUUGUAAACUGCUUUUGUACGGAACGAAAAGCCCCGGGUUAAUACCCUGGGGUCAUGACGGUACCGUAAGAAUAAGCACCAGCUAACUACGUGCCAGCCGCCGCGGUAA